rnacentral:rRNA from 1 species
UACGGGGGGGGUAAGCGUUGUUCGGAAUUAUUGGGCGUAAAGAGCUCGUAGGCGGUUCGGCAAGUCGGAUGUGAAAUCUCCACGCUCAACGUGGAGGGGCCAUUCGAAACUGCCGUGACUCGAGUCCGGUAGGGGAGUGUGGAAUUCCCGGUGUAGCGGUGAAAUGCGCAGAUAUCGGGAGGAACACCAGUAGCGAAGGCGGCACUCUGGGCCGGUACUGACGCUGAGGAGCGAAAGCGUGGGGAGCGAACAGG